rnacentral:lncRNA from 1 species
CGUCCUCCCACCCUCCACCCUUAGAAAGGCCCCAGUGUGAGGUUUUCUCUUCUAUGUGUCCCUAAGUUCUCACCAUUUAGUUCCCACUUAUAAGUGAGAACAUGUGGUAUUUGGUUUUCUGUUCCUGUGUGAGCUUGCUAUUUUCUUCUAAACAUCAAGGUAUAUCUCAGAACACUUUAGUGACAAAAGAUUUGGGAAUCUGGCUUGAUAGCUCAACAGUUUAGACCACAAAGUUAACAUUAGGUGACAUACAUCUUACAACACACAUUACCUCAGCUCUUCUUAUCUUUUUAAUUUGUUGACACUGAUGAAAAAAACUACAGAUCAGUAAGAUAUAUGCAUAUUUAUAGGAAACCUGACACUUUAUAUCCUGAAUUCAAUUCAUCUUAUUGUUCCCAGAGGGAGAAUCGUUGGUGGGUCUCCAGCCAGGGCCAUUCCUAAGUAUGAAACUCCCUGAACAUCAACUAAAACAAGUAUGUAAAUAGCAGCCACCAUUUUCUGAGCAUUUCCUAUGUGCAAGAAAUAUUCUUCAGAUAUUAUCUCAUUGAAUUCUCAUAGUGUUCCCAUAAGGUAAGUGUUAUUUAUUAGACUAUUACAGUCUAUUUCCAGUAAUAGAAGAUGUAUAUUUAUUGUGAAGAAGAUAUGAACGUAUCUUCAAUUGACCCACAAUUGAAAAAACAUAUGGAUAAUUAUCAGGGAAGUUUUUGAGUGAAGGUCAAUUAACUGACUAGCUUCAAGUCAGUUAUUUUCAUCUUAACAUGAACCUCUUGAUUGGUUACUAAUCAAUCAGGUUCCAAAUUAUCUUUUCUUUAGCACAUAAUUGCUAGAAAUAUUGUAAUAUAUCUAAUGGGAGAAAAAGAAAUUGUUAAUUGAUAAUUAU